AGGAUGCAAGCGUUAUCCGGAAUGAUUGGGCGUAAAGCGUCCGCAGGUGGCUGUGUAAGUCUGCUGUCAAAGAGCGAAGCUCAACUUCGUAAAGGCAGUGGAAACUACACGGCUAGAGUGCGUUCGGGGCAGAGGGAAUUCCUGGUGUAGCGGUGAAAUGCGUAGAGAUCAGGAAGAACACCGGUGGCGAAGGCGCUCUGCUAGGCCGCAACUGACACUGAGGGACGAAAGCUAGGGGAGCGAAUGGG
rnacentral:rRNA from 1 species